GACGAACCGUGCGAACGUUGUUCGGAAUCACUGGGCUUAAAGGGCGCGUAGGCGGACGACCAAGUCGGGGGUGAAAUCUUUCGGCUCAACCGGAAAAUAGCCUUCGAUACUGGCCGUCUGGAGGGAGGUAGGGGCGUGUGGAACUUCCGGUGGAGCGGUGAAAUGCGUUGAUAUCGGAAGGAACUCCGGUGGCGAAAGCGACACGCUGGAUCUCUUCUGACGCUGAGGCGCGAAAGCCAGGGGAGCGAACGGG
rnacentral:rRNA from 1 species